rnacentral:rRNA from 1 species
AUUGAACGCUGGCGGCAUGCCUUACACAUGCAAGUCGAACGGCAGCACGGGUGCUUGCACCUGGUGGCAAGUGGCGAACGGGUGAGUAAUACAUCGGAACAUGUCCUGUAGUGGGGGAUAGCCCGGCGAAAGCCGGAUUAAUACCGCAUACGAUCUACGGAUGAAAGCGGGGGACCUUCGGGCCUCGCGCUAUAGGGUUGGCCGAUGGCUGAUUAGCUCGUUGGUGGGGUAAAGGCCUACCAAGGCGACGAUCAGUAGCUGGUCUGAGAGGACGACCAGCCACACUGGGACUGAGACACGGCCCAGACUCCUACGGGAGGCAGCAGGGGGGAAUUUUGGACAAUGGGCGAAAGCCUGAUCCAGCAAUGCCGCGUGUGUGAAGAAGGCCUUCGGGUUGUAAAGCACUUUUGUCCGGAAAGAAAUCCUUGGCCCUAAUACGGUCGGGGGAUGACGGUACCGGAAGAAUAAGCACCGGCUAACUACGU